UUACUAGAUAAACCACUGACCACGCGUAGGAGUUUAAAGAGUCUUUACUCAAGUGAUUGCUGCUUUGAAAAGAUUUAAAGUAAACAUAGUCUGUCAUAAUAGCCACAGACUUUCAAAGAAGAGCCAGCAAAAAGGUACACAAGCUUUCUAACGUUUACCGCUGUACUAUAUUACUACGAAAUACGGUGUUCCAAGCGAUAAAAAUGAAGAGUUUAGCUGUUGUCGUUCUUUUCUUACUGGCAGUCGCCAUGACGAGCCCAGUGCAAAAAAAGUGGUCUGACAAGGUUUCCUGGACCAAGUUACGAGUACAAAUUGGAAAGAAACCCUGCAAAUCCCCACGAUGUACAUGUUCUCGCACCGAAAAUCCUUGUCCUUUGAACCACCACGAUUGCAGUGAAGCAAUAUUCUGCACGUCAGGCACGAAAAAACCUUGUUGUUUUUAGUUGUAAUUAAUUAAGCUUGAUUUUGUAACGCUUUGCAUCAUGGGUAAAUAAAUGAUUAAUAUUUUUGAAAUGAA